AAAAAAUACAAUCUUUCUCAAAGAACCGUUCGUCAGGGCGAGGGUUGCUGUAAAUGUGCAUAGCUUGAAUUUACUUAAUAGGAUACACCUUUUCUCGCAAUAUAAAAAAAGGAAAAAAAUUUCGAUUGAAUUCUCGAUUAUAGCAAUUUUGCUUUUCAUUUGCUCUUACUAUUUUAUUGGCCGCAAUGAACAAACAUUGGGAAGAUUUAAAAAAAAGUAUGACACUAUCAUACCGCAGUCAAAAAUACCCCUGACCUUAGGACACUGGAAAAACUGUACGUUUUAAAUAUCCCACGGAGAUUUGGCGAUGGUAAUCAAACAGAAAGCGAUUUCCGACCCAUGUAAUUGUUUAAUAGAUUACCAUGUGGGGAAAAAGAGAAGCAGAAAUUGUGCACAAUUCAUGACUACAACCGGUGGCAAGUGAAGUGUGUCUCAAGCGAAUGCUACAACAUAUGGAAUUAGAUUGCACCGUUGGAUCUGGUACAAGCGAUAAGCUCUUGCGGAGGGAUAACGACUUCACCGGACCCAGGCAAGAAACUUGGCAAUGAACUGUGAGGUACAUAAUUAUUAUCAAAAUCAGUGCUGACGUCAUUAUUAACGAUGAAGUAAGCAUAGGCGUCGCUUCUGAAUGAGGUUGUGUUACUUCAAUUGUUCCAGGACAACUGCACCAUUGACACGCACGGCGGCAAUAUCAUUGGGGGUUUGAUUCGACAACUGAAGAAAGACCAGAGUAUGGGGGUUUGAUGGAGAAACGUUUCUGCCGGGCGCUGAUUAAUUAUGCCCCUUCGGUACAAUGCAUGAUAUUAUUAAAAUGAAAUGAAGUAACGCGUCAGA